UGGCUCUCGCAUCGAUGAAGAACGCAGCGAAAUGCGAUAAGUAAUGUGAAUUGCAGAAUUCAGUGAAUCAUCGAAUCUUUGAACGCACCUUGCGCUCCUUGGUAUUCCGAGGAGCAUGCCUGUCUGAGUGUCUUGAAGUCAUCAACCGCAAGCGUUUUUCGGAGCGUCUUGUCGGUUGGACCUGGGGGAAUGCUGCCGAGAGGCUGCUCUCCUCAAAUGCUUCGGUUGGGCCUGUGGGUCAAACUCGAUUGGGCGUUGUACCAUCCUCGCUCUCACCCGAGAAAGAUCCCGCGUCUUAGCGGCCCUUCCACGACCUUGCCUUUAAGAGGGGCUGGUCUGCUCUUGCACACUUUUGAAAUCUGACCUCAGAUCAGGUAGGACUACCCGCUGA
rnacentral:misc_RNA from 1 species